AUGUAUAACCAUCCACCAGAUGAUCCUGAUGAUACAGAUCAACAACAUGAUAGUGAUGCCAGAAACACUACAUAUCCAACAGAGUUAUACACACUUGAUGAAUUCCUAGCCGAGGAGGACAUGCUAGACUCCUUCGCCGAGGAGAUUGCUGUGGAGUUGAAGGGAACACUUGAGGCUCUUCAAGCAAGAUCACUUAGCAGGAGUGGUCCGAGGAUAUACGUGAAUAGACCGCGUGAAGAAGCACAUCAACAACUUGUACGAGAUUACUUCUGUGACAAUCCUCUCUACCGCGCCAAAAAAAUUCGGAGAAGAUUCAGGAUGAGACGACCUCUCUUUCUUCGCAUCGUCAAUGCGCUAGGUGAGUGGUCUCCAUACUUCACCACAAGGACAGAUGCGCUUAACCGUGAAGGGCUCUCUCCACUGCAAAAGUGCACGGCGGCAAUACGCCAAUUGGCUUAUGGCACACCUGCAGAUAGUCUUGAUGAAUAUCUCAAGAUUAGCGAGACUACCGCAGUUGAUUGCUUGAAGAACUUUGUGCAAGGAGUGAUUGAUACCUAUGCUGCAGAGUAUUUGCGAAGCCCCAACACUGAAGAUACAGAGCGCUUACUCUGCAUUGGCGAAGGUCGUGGGUUUCCUGGCAUGUUAGGAAGCCUGGAUUGUAUGCAUUGGCGUUGGGAAAAUGUCCUAUUGCAUGGAAGGGCCAAUUUACUCGUGGCGAUAAAGGGUGGCCUAGUCUUAUUCUGGAAGCAGUUGCUUCGCAAGAUCUCCGGAUAUGGCAUGCCUACUUUGGUAUUGCUGGGUCAAACAAUGACAUCAAUGUGCUAA
rnacentral:rRNA from 1 species